AUCACCUUCGAGGAGCCCUCCUUCUACCUGCGCUGCCUGGGCAAGACGACGUGUUCGUGGGGCGGCGCGCCUCCGCUGCGGCUGUCCGACGAGCCACAGACAGCGACUACGAGGACGAGUGGCCCAAGCAUUCUUUCGUGAACCACUACAUGAGCGACCCCACCUACUACAACUCGUGGAAGCGGCAGCAGAAGGGCCUGAAGCAGACACCGGCCUACGCCUACGAGGAGUGUGCCGGCGGGGACGGCGAGGCCUAUUACCAGACGGUAGUGACCCAGCACAGCGUCGGAGGCGUGUACACGGCGACGGGCCAGCCUGCCCCCCCCGGCUCACGGACUCCUAUCACAGGGUUCUCCUCCUUCGUGUGAGGCGUUGUGUCGGAGGGGGCGCUGCGGGCCGCUGCCAAGCGGCUGACACCCUCGAUGCCAACAGAAGCAGUUGGAUUGGAGUGAAUCGUUUGUAAUUGUAUAUGUUGUUAUAUACAAAUGCAGUUAUGGAAUUAGGCUAAAAUACACCAAGAGCAAGUUGCCAUGUGCUAUUCUUAGAAGUAUACCAUAGCCUUAAUCAUUGAGUUCUCUGAAAUGUACUCAAUGUUCACCUGAGUGGUUUACUUCUUGAUUGUUAAAUACUGGUCAUCUAAUAUUCACGUGAUAAAAUAUUUAAGUAGGAAUUAUUCUUACAUGCAUUUCUCUUUAGAUAUACUCAAAGUAUAUAAAGUGCAUAUUAUAUAUAGCUUCUUUGCACUCUAAGAUACUGUAUGUACCAGAUAAAAUUUAUGAUGCUUAGAUUACAACUAUCUUCUUGCUGUCAUUUCUCAUUAGAUCAGUUGUUUUGAUGAAACACAGACGUAUACCCUGUUAAUGUAUUACCAUUUAUAUUGUCUAGAUAUCAUUUUCUAUAAUGUCCUUUCUUAUGAUGGUUGCAUAAUUUCCUUUAUGAGGAAUCCAUAUUCAUUGUGCUGUAAAUGUUUUCAGGGUUAACAUGUUCUGACAUGUUUAUUCAUUUUGUAACUCAGAAGUUGGCUUCACUUCCAUGUUCUCGUUCAUAAUAUGCGUCAUUCAAAUGUUUAUCUAUUUUUCAUACUGUAAUCAGCAUAUCACAAUGUUGAAAAGUGAGGGAUUAAAUUGUUCACUGUAAAGUUUUACUGUACUGUAUAUUGUCUUACAAAAUUUUGAAGGAUUUGGAAUGGAAGGAAAAGAAAACCUGCAUUUUAAAAAGGAGUAGAGAGUUAAAAAGUACAAAACUAUAAAUCGGAGACAUAAAGUAUUUAAUCUGUAUAACCCAUAGCUGAAAAUCUUAAAAGAUUUGAUAAACCCUGUCAAAAUGAUGUUUUUGGCAUGAAGAAAUUAGCUCAGGAUUAAUAUGGAAUAAUGCAAAGUGAGUCAUCAUGUGUCACCUUGGCUUUCAGCCUCCUAUCACUCUACAUUAUCACUUAACUCGAUAUAAAGUGUACUUUGUCAAAGCUGAUUACUGUGUUCUAUUAUCUUUUCUCUGAACUAUUUGCCUGUUAGUGAAAUUAAUUUGCAAUAUGGCUGAAAUGGCAAUUCACCCACCAUCCCCUUUUUCCAAAUGCGACAGCUGGGUGAAAUGUUGCAAAGUAAGGAUGAUCUGCAGAUUUAAUGUAGGUUAAAUUAAUUUUGUUAUUGUUCAUUAUUAUUUUUAUUAUUAUUAGCUGUAGUAGUAGUAGUGUAGUAGUGUAGCAGUAGACAAGUGUAAUUUUCUUGGGUGCAUACAGAACCAGUCCCAGCAUUAAGAAUAAAGAAUACAAAGAACACA
rnacentral:lncRNA from 1 species